rnacentral:rRNA from 1 species
UGUUUAUUGGGUAAUAAUAAGUAAUUUCUGCCCACUGUCUUUUAGAUAAAGGGCUGCAGUAUUUUGACUGUAUUAAGGUAGCAUAAUCAUUAGCUUUUUAAUUGGGGGGUGGUAUGAAUGGGUUAACGGGGGAGCGGGUGUAUUUUUCUUUAAUGAUUUAAAUUUUAUGGUGUUGUGAAAAAUCAACAAUUAAUACUAAGGGACCAAGAAGACCCUAUUAAGUUAGGUUAUAUUUAGUUAGAAAUAUAAGGGAUAAUUAGUAUGAUUGGUCCUAAUGGUAUUUUAGCGUGGGGCCGGCCGAGUUAAGUUAUUAAUCAAAAUUUAAUAAAUAUAUAAUUAUUAGGCGAAGUGUGAGGACCCUGAUUUGGGUUAAAUAAGUGGUAAAAUUACUUUAGGGAUAACAGCGUUAUCCGUUUUUGAAAGUUCAUAUUGACAGAACGGUUUGCGACCUCGAUGUUGGAUAAAAAUAAGAAAUUAGUGCAGGAGCUGAUGGGUUUUGGUCUGUUCGACCAGUAGAAUUUUUACA